UACGAAGGGGGCUAGCGUUGUUCGGAAUUACUGGGCGUAAAGCGCACGUAGGCGGGUUGUUAAGUCAGGGGUGAAAUCCCGGAGCUCAACUCCGGAACUGCCUUUGAUACUGGCAAUCUAGAGACUGGAAGAGGUUAGUGGAAUUCCCAGUGUAGCGGUGAAAUGCGUAGAUAUUGGGAGGAACAUCGGUGGCGAAGGCGGCUACCUGGACGGGUACUGGCGCUGAUGCGCGAAAGCUAGGGGAGCAAACAGG
rnacentral:rRNA from 1 species